GACGAACCGAGCGAACGUUGUUCGGAAUCACUGGGCUUAAAGGGCGCGUAGGCGGGUUCUCAAGUCCGGGGUGAAAUCCCACAGCUCAACUGUGGAACUGCCUCGGAUACUGGGGGCCUCGAGGGUGGUAGGGGUAUGCGGAACUAUCGGUGGAGCGGUGAAAUGCGUUGAUAUCGAUAGGAACUCCGGUGGCGAAGGCGGCAUACUGGACCACAUCUGACGCUGAGGCGCGAAAGCCAGGGGGAGCAAAACGGGG
rnacentral:rRNA from 1 species